rnacentral:misc_RNA from 1 species
GAUGAAGAACGUAGCGAAAUGCGAUAAGUAAUGUGAAUUGCAGAAUUCAGUGAAUCAUCGAAUCUUUGAACGCACCUUGCACCCAUUGGCAUUCCGAAGGGUAUGCUCGUUUGAGUGUCAUUGUACUCUCACACUCUCCGAUCCUAUGGAUUCGGGGAGCGGUGGACUUGGGUGUUGCUGCCUUUCCCUGUGGCUCACCUCAAAUGCGUCAGUGCACCUCUUGGUUGGACAUAGUACGGCGUGAUAAGUGUCUUCGCCGGCACCUCGCAAGAGGGUGGCCGAUCGGGAGCUCUGCGCUUUCAAACCGUCUUCGGACAAUUUCUGACAUCUUGACCUCAAAUCGAGUAGGACUACCCGCUGAACUUAAGCAUAUCAAUAAGCGGAGGA